rnacentral:SRP_RNA from 1 species
GCGCAACGGAAACUCAUGAACCUCGUCAGGUCCGGAAGGAAGCAGCGAUAAGUGAACAUUUCCGUGUGCCGCAGGGAAGCCUGACCCGAGCUAACUACUUAGGUAACGCUUGGAAUGGAAUUUCGAAGCUGGGUGCACGG